UUGUGCACACAGUAGUUAUUUUCUUCUCUUAGUACUAGAUUAGAGUGGCCGUGUUUAUGGAAUAGAUGUAAAUUGCCAUGAUAUGAAGAGAGAGCGCUUUUCAGUGUCAUCUCUCUCUAGGAAGUGGCUGGACACACCACC